AUUGAACGCUGGCGGCAUGCUUUACACAUGCAAGUCGAACGGCAGCGCGGGCUUCGGCCUGGCGGCGAGUGGCGAACGGGUGAGUAAUACAUCGGAACGUGCCCAGUAGUGGGGGAUAGCUCGGCGAAAGCCGGAUUAAUACCGCAUACGACCUGAGGGUGAAAGCGGGGGACCUUCGGACCUCGCGCUAUUGGAGCGGCCGAUGGCAGAUUAGCUAGUUGGUGGGGUAAAGGCCUACCAAGGCGACGAUCUGUAGCUGGUCUGAGAGGACGACCAGCCACACUGGGACUGAGACAUGGCCCAGACUCCUACGGGAGGCAGCAGUGGGGAAUUUUGGAGAAAGGGCGAAAGCCUGAUCCAGCAAUGCCGCGUGUGUGAUGAAGGCCUUCGGGUUGUAAAGCACUUUUGGCGGGAACGAAAAGGACUGUGCCAAUACCACGGUUCGAUGACGGUACCCGCAGAAUAAGCACCGGCUAACUACGUG
rnacentral:rRNA from 1 species